UACAGAGGGUGCGAGCGUUAAUCGGAAUUACUGGGCGUAAAGCGCACGUAGGUGGCGACGUAAGUCGGGUGUGAAAGCCCCGGGCUCAACCUGGGAAUUGCAUUCGAGACUGCAUUGCUGGAGUACGGAAGAGGAGGGCGGAAUUCCCGGUGUAGCGGUGAAAUGCGUAGAUAUCGGGAGGAACAUCAGUGGCGAAGGCGGCCCUCUGGUCCAGUACUGACACUCAAGUGCGAAAGCGUGGGGAGCAGACAGG
rnacentral:rRNA from 1 species